CCUACGGGAGGCAGCAGUGGGGAAUAUUGCACAAUGGGCGCAAGCCUGAUGCAGCGACGCCGCGUGAGGGAUGACGGCCUUCGGGUUGUAAACCUCUUUCAGUAGGGAAGAAGCGAAAGUGACGGUACCUGCAGAAGAAGCGCCGGCUAACUACGUGCCAGCAGCCGCGGUAAUACGUAGGGCGCAAGCGUUAUCCGGAAUUAUUGGGCGUAAAGAGCUCGUAGGCGGUUUGUCGCGUCUGCCGUGAAAGUCCGGGGCUCAACUCCGGAUCUGCGGUGGGUACGGGCAGACUAGAGUGAUGUAGGGGAGACUGGAAUUCCUGGUGUAGCGGUGAAAUGCGCAGAUAUCAGGAGGAACACCGAUGGCGAAGGCAGGUCUCUGGGCAUUAACUGACGCUGAGGAGCGAAAGCAUGGGGAGCGAACAGGAUUAGAUACCCUGGUAGUCCAUGCCGUAAACGUUGGGCACUAGGUGUGGGGGACAUUCCACGUUUUCCGCGCCGUAGCUAACGCAUUAAGUGCCCCGCCUGGGGAGUACGGCCGCAAGGCUAAAACUCAAAUGAAUUGACGGCNGAGAGNGCGAGACGACACGAGGGAGAGG
rnacentral:rRNA from 1 species